AACGAACGCUGGCGGCAUGCCUAACACAUGCAAGUCGAACGAGACCUUCGUGUCUAGUGGCGCACGUGUGCGUAACGCGUGGUAACCUGCCCUUAGGUUCGCAAUAACUCCCCGAAAGGGGUGCUAAUACCGGAUAAUGUCUUCGGACCAAAGAUUUAUCGCCUUUGGAUGGGCCCUCGUUGGAUUAGCUAGUUGGUAGGGUAAAAGCAUACCAAGGCGACGAUCCAUAGCUGGUCUGAGAGGAUGAUCAGCCACACUGGGACUGAGACACGGCCCAGACUCCUACGGGAGGCAGCAGUGGGGAAUAUUAGACAAUGGGCGAAAGCCUGAUCCAGCAAUGCCGCGUGAGUGAUGAAGGGCUUAGGGUUGUAAAGCUCUUUUACCCGGGAUGAUAAUGACAGUAACGGGAGAAUAAGCUCCGGCUAACUCCGUG
rnacentral:rRNA from 1 species